rnacentral:rRNA from 1 species
GGGGCACUUAAUGCGUUAUGGCGGCGCGGAAACCGUGGAAUGGUCCCCACACCUAGUGCCCAACGUUUACGGCAUGGACUACCAGGGUAUCUAAUCCUGUUCGCUCCCCAUGCUUUCGCUCCUCAGCGUCAGUUACAGCCCAGAGACCUGCCUUCGCCAUCGGUGUUCCUCCUGAUAUCUGCGCAUUCCACCGCUACACCAGGAAUUCCAGUCUCCCCUACUGCACUCUAGUCUGCCCGUACCCACCGCAGAUCCGGGGUUAAGCCCCGGACUUUCACGACAGACGCGACAAACCGCCUACGAGCUCUUUACGCCCAAUAAUUCCGGAUAACGCUCGCACCCUACGUAUUACCGCGGCUGCUGGCACGUAGUUAGCCGGUGCUUCUUCUGCAGGUACCGUCACUUUCGCUUCUUCCCUACUGAAAGAGGUUUACAACCCGAAGCCGUCAUCCCUCACGCGGCGUCGCUGCAUCAGGCUUGCGCCCAUUGUGCAAUAUUCCCCACUGCUGCCUCCCGUAGAGUCUGGGCCGUGUCUCAGUCCCAGUGUGGCCGGUCACCCUCUCAGGCCGGCUACCCGUCGUCGCCUUGGUGAGCCAUUACCUCACCAACAAGCUGAUAGGCCGCGAGUCCAUCCAAAACCGAUAAAUCUUUCCAACACCCACCAUGCGGURGGCGCUCCUAUCCGGUAUUAGACCYAGUUUCCCAGGCUUAUCCCAGAGUUAAGGGCAGGUUACUCACGUGUUACUCACCCGUUCGCACUAAUCCACCCAGCAASUGGGCUUCAUCGUUCRCUU